CCAAAAUGGUUACAAACCCAGGUGAAGGGAGAUCCGGAAAGGCAAAUCCGCCGGAUCGUCUGCCAGGAAAAUCCUCUAAGGAGAGUUAGGUGACUGUACCACAAACGGACACACGUGGACGAGAUGAGUAUUCUCAGGCGCUCGGGUGAUGAGUUGUUAAGGAACUAGGCAAAUUAACCCCGUAACUUCGGGAGAAGGGGUGCCCAUGCAAAUGGGCCGCAGUGAAUAGCGUCAGGCGACUGUUUAACAAAAACACAGGUCUCUGCUAAGUCGAAAACGAUGUAUAGGGGCUGACGCCUGCCCGGUGCCGGAAGGUUAAAGGGAGUGGUUAGCGCAAGCGAAGCUACGAACUGAAGCCCCGGUGAACGGCGGCCGUAACGAUAACGGUCCUAAGGUAAAAUUCCUUGUCGGGUAAGUUCCGACCUGCACGAAUGGCGUAACGAUCUGACGACUGUCUCAACAACUCGCCCGGCGAAUUUGUGGUUCCGGUGAAGACGCCGGAUGCCCGCCACAAGACGGAAAGACCCCGUGCACCUUUACUAUACCCUAUCAGUGAAUUAUGGGUUGGACUGCGCAGGAUAGGUGGGAGGCUUUGAGAUCGGGUUUUUGGACUCGAUGGAGCCAACGGUGAGAUACCACCCUGUGUAAUCUGUGAUUCUAACCUGCUUCCAUGAUCUGGAAGAGGGACACUGGUAGGCGGGUAGUUUGACUGGGGCGGUCGCCUCCUAAAUUGUAACGGAGGCGCUCGAAGCUGCGUUCAGGUGGUUUGGAAAUCCACCGACGAGUGCAAAGGCAUAAACGCGGUUAACUGCGAGACCUACAAGUCAAGCAGGUGGGAAACCAGGACUUAGUGAUCCGGUGGUUCUGUAUGGAAGGGCCAUCGCUCAACGGAUAAAAGGUACGCCGGGGAUAACAGGCUGAUCGGAGUCAAGAGUUCACAUCGACGCUCCGGUUUGGCACCUCGAUGUCGGUUCAUCGCAUCCCGGGGGUGUAGAAGCUCCCAAGGGUUAGGCUGUUCGCCUAUUAAAGCGGUACGUGAACUGGGUUCAGAACGUCGCGAGACAGUUCGGUCCCUAUCUGUGGUGGGCGCAGGAAAUUUGAGGGGGCUUGGCCUUAGUACGAGAGGACCGGGCUGAACGAACCUCUUGUGAUACAGUUGUCACUCCAGUGGCACAGCUGUGUAGCGAAGUUCGGUUAGGAUAAGCGCUGAAUGCAUAUAAGUGCGAAACCUUCCCCAAGAUGAGAUUUCCCAACCGUAAGGUAAUAAGGGCCGUGGAAGACUACCACGUUGAUAGGACGGGUGUGUAAGAGUAGUAAUACUUUGAGCUAACCGUUACUAAUAGCCCGUUCGGCUUGACCG
rnacentral:rRNA from 1 species